rnacentral:lncRNA from 1 species
UUUUGUGAUACAUUCACAUAAAUGACGAAGUAGACUAUAUAUUUUGUUAAUAGUAGUCAUCCAAGGGAAAAACCAUCUUUGUUACUUUCAAAACAGUCUAGUCUUGGUAGAAGACUACUCUUUAUACUAAUAGAAAUCAUAGGGAUUUGCUAGGGUAUUCAAACGUUUUCAAACUAGUUUCAAACAGUUCAUACUUAUACAAACCUUUUUCCAAAUGUUCACAAGUCUUUACUUUCCAGUUUUACAAAUCUAAGACACAUUAAUACUUAUAAAUUCACCAACUUUAUUGCUGAUACUCGCUUUCAAAAUACUUGUAUUCUCAGGUCACAAAUAGACAGGUACGACGACCAGGUUUUGUGAAGAUGGAGAAAUCAAGACUCCUAUUUUAUGUAGAUUGUUCAUUAUGUUGUCUUAUACUAUGAAAGAACACACUUGUAAUUAAAAUUAUACUUUUAAUGCAAUGGAUGAUGUUGUUGCUUCUUUACUACUUUGCAUUGUUGUGAUACAUUACAUGACGUCCUCCGCCGCAGAACGUUUCCGACGUUCUCGGAUUUUGGGUGUGACAGAAAAGUCACUCAUCUUCAUCAUGCCCGAGACAAACAACUACUGAUCGAACAUCACAAUUUCCAUCACCUAAUACAUUUUGUNNNNNNNNNNNNNNNNNNNNNNNNNNNNNNNNNNNNNNNNNNNNNNNNNNNNNNNNNNNNNNNNNNNNNNNNNNNNNNNNNNNNNNNNNNNNNNNNNNNNUACCGGCGACAUGGGCUUUUAGCGGCGACAAAUGCUAGAGUCGCCACUAAAAGUCCACUUCGCCGGUAAUAAUGUCCCUGCUAAAGGGUUAUCACUCGAAUCCAUGUUUUCCCCAUCCGUUACAUCUAAGCCCGUAUGAUCAAAUAUCAAAUCCAACGGUUGGGAUUCCUUAUCCGCAUUAACCUAAUACCGGCGACAUAUAUGUCGCCGCUAAAAGUUAAAAAUGUCGUCGCUAAUAGUUAGCUAAAAGUUUAAUCGGAUAUUAUGACUUUUAAUAUUUAAUUAAUUAUAAUCGGAUGUUUGUUAUGUAAUUANAGCGUCGACAUAUUAUUUUUUAUUUUUCAUCGAAUGUUGUUAUGUAAUUACCGACGACAUUAUUACGGGCAACCAAAAUCUUUAAUUAAAAAAAAUUAAAAAAAUGAAAAUUGGUAUUACCGGCGACACUAUUACCGGCGACUGUGUUAUUACCGACGACAUUGUUAUUAACGGCGACACACAUUAUUAGCGGCGACAAAUAUCAUUAGCAGCGACAAUUUGCUCAAUAGCGACGAAACAGUAGUGACGACUUAUUACCGGCGACGCGUCGCCGCUAUUACUAUUACCGGCGACUACCCGACUUAUUACCUGCGACUUUUGACGCGGCUAAUGAUCGUUUUCCUAGUAGUAAAUAUAAUAUUAUCACUACGUAAGUAAGAGAAUAUGUAGCUCCUAAGGAUUUACGUCUCUAUAGUAUAUUAAAACAUAGCAUCUAUGAAUUACAAAAUGCUCGUAAUGAUAAUAAUCAAAGAAUGUUUAAUGAACAUGAAUAUUUUUCUUCUUCUGAUCGGACCAUCAACAAAAUUAGCACCAUAGACGGAAAGCCAAAAAUAAGUAUAGGCAUUAUGCAUGUUUAGGAUAGGGUGCUAAAUGAACAGGUUACAUGAAUGCAUUAUAAUUAUAGAAUUUAUUUAAAAUGUCCUGUACACACCAACGUACAACACUAAUUUAUAGUUAUAUUAUUAGAGUAUCUCCAAUGAUAAUUUAUUUAUAGUUUUUUACUAUUUCCUUGAUAACUUAAUAUUAUUAAACAUCAUUGGAGAUAAUAGUUUUUUUGUUUUUUUUAUUGAUCAUUCAAUAUAUAUUGAAUGGUCAAUAUAGUAUAAAUGUUUAUCCAGUCUAAUCCUUUAUCUUUAAAAAUAUUUCAUUUUACCUACAUAAUUUUAUUUUAGUUGAAAUAAUAUUGAUUUCUUUAAUAAAUAAUUAUUUCUAUUAGAUGUUACAAAUGUUUAUAUAUUAUAACUACAAUAAAUUUUAAUACAAACUAUAUUUUAAUAAAAAUAUGAUGUGUUUAAAAACAACUAAUUAGUUUAAGGGGUUAUAAGAAACAAUUUAUAUACAUGUGGAUCAACUAGUUAAACUAAAAAAAAAAACACUAUGUUGAGGUUAACCUUUGCAGAUAUAACUUAAUUAGAGCUUAAAAAUAAAUAGAAUGAUGAGUUGACAAUAACUUUAAGUUAUAACACAACUUAACCAUUGGAGAUGCUCUUAGACUUAUUUUUUGGAUGAAUGAUGAUAAAUUAUUACCAUAUAAUUAUCAUUAACUUUACUUUUUAUGUCAUCAUUACAAUAUAAUUAUUAUUUGUGAAACUUUUAUUAUUAGUUCAUUAUAACACAAUCAAGAAAUCAUUAUUAAUUUGUAAUUAUAUUUUUAUUAUUAACUUUAUUNNNNNNNNNNNNNNNNNNNNNNNNNNNNNNNNNNNNNNNNNNNNNNNNNNNNNNNNNNNNNNNNNNNNNNNNNNNNNNNNNNNNNNNNNNNNNNNNNNNNAAUAUUAUUAAACAUCAUUGGAGAUAAUAGUUUUUUUGUUUUUUUAUUGAUCAUUCAAUAUAUAUUGAAUAUUCAAUAUAGUAUAAAUGUUUAUCGAGUCUAAUCCUUUAUCUUUAAAAAUAUUUCAUUUUACCUACAUAAUUUUAUUUUAGUUGAAAUAAUAUUGAUUUCUUUAAUAAAUAAUUAUUUCUAUUAGAUGUUAAAAAUGUUUAUAUNUCUAUUAGAUGUUACAAAUGUUUAUAUAUUAUAACUACAAUAAAUUUUAAUACAAACUAUAUUUUAAUAAAAAUAUGAUGUGUUUAAAAACAACUAAUUAGUUUAAGGGGUUAUAAGAAACAAUUUAUAUACAUGUGGAUCAACUAGUUAAACUAAAAAAAAAAACACUAUGUUGAGGUUAACCUUUGCAGAUAUAACUUAAUUAGAGCUUAAAAAUAAAUAGAAUGAUGAGUUGACAAUAACUUUAAGUUAUAACACAACUUAACCAUUGGAGAUGCUCUUAGACUUAUUUUUUGGAUGAAUGAUGAUAAAUUAUUACCAUAUAAUUAUCAUUAACUUUACUUUUUAUGUCAUCAUUACAAUAUAAUUAUUAUUUGUGAAACUUUUAUUAUUUGUUCAUUAUAACACAAUCAAUAAAUCAUUAUUAAUUUGUAAUUAUAUUUUUAUUAUUAACUUUAUUCAUAUUGAUAACUUUAAAUUUAUGACAUGAAGAAAAACAAUGAAUCAAGUACUCCAUCACAUCCAACGAAAACUCUAGAAUAGUCUUCGUAUGAAGUCAAUAACUCAUCAUAUAAUUGUCGACGAAUGAAAAUGUGACAACCGAAAUUUUUUAUUUUAUAAAGCUUAGUCAAUCAAUCCAUUUGGGUGUCAAAAUAAUUAGUACAAAGUUCCAGCCAGGUUACAGGUCAUUCUAAGGAGUUUUGAACCUAAUACACUUAAGGAAUAAGUGAUAGAAAGUACCCGCUAGAACCACAGUGUAGCAAAUCGGACCCUAACCCCAUCUAAGUGAGUUCACGGCCACAAGACCAUGAGUUUACGACCGUAAACUCAUGUUGCCAUAAACUCAAGGGUAUAUAUAGAUCAUUGGGUCAUUUCCUCUCAUUUCUCCCUUUCUUGGCCGGAUUUUCUUCCAAAUCCUCUCAAGUAUCAUCCCGAUCUUCGUCCCCGGUCUUCAAAACCCGUAAGCUUAUUGUCUUAACUAGUUGAUAUCUUGCAUGAACUAGUAAUCUUACAUGAUUUCAUCCGUGAAAUCAUUCCAUUUUGUAGAUCUUCAAGUUACACCAAGAACACACACUAGUGUUCUUGGCCAAAACCGACCAUUCGAGCUUGUAGAUCGUAAGUACUCUUGAUCCAACUCAUUGUACACUAAGUUUAGCAUAUUUAGAGCUUAGAAAACAUAAGGAAUCAUGGGAUUCAAGGAGUUUAUGGCUAGGGCAUGUUCUUGGGCCGCAAACCCCUUUUAAGGGUGCAAAUGACACCCUAACACCUUAGUAAGCCUUGGUUAGUGUCAUAGAACCUUACACCAUUGACCUAAGGACCAUAAUUCAUGAAAUGGUACUCCUUACCAUGAGUUUACAGCCGUAAACUNNNNNNNNNNNNNNNNNNNNNNNNNNNNNNNNNNNNNNNNNNNNNNNNNNNNNNNNNNNNNNNNNNNNNNNNNNNNNNNNNNNNNNNNNNNNNNNNNNNNGCAUGUUUAGUUAUACUUGUUGUCUUCGUGAUACUUGUAUGUGCCAGGUAGGGAGGUGAGUGUGGGUAGGGUCUAGUAUCUCAUCACUAGCUGAGUGUAGACGGGGUUUCUUAUCUCAUCAUUAGCAGAGUAAGGGCGGGGACCAUGAUAGGCUAGGCCUUAGGAACGGAACAUAUAGUAUUGUGUAUGAUUCUUUAUGUUCGACCAAUAGGACCGGGACCGGAGAUGAGAGCAGCUCAAUAACGAAAGUUUAUGUUAAUUCCUAGAAUAGUUCAAAUCGGACAUAUUCUACAAACACUAGGUUAAAUCGGUAUGAUAGAUAUCGUUUAUUGGACUUGGAUAAUUAAAUUUCAUUCGGCCCGUUAAAAACAACAAUUUUUCAAACAAAUUAAACAUCUCGAUCAAUCAGAUUAUCUAGAAUGUACACAACUCGAAGUUUGAUGACGCACAACACUAUUGGGCACGUCUUUGACGCACACUAGACAACGGUAUGAACAACGUAUAGACCAAUACUUAUCAGUUGUUAUGUCUAUGGUUUUAUAAUAUAAGUUCACUAUAGAAUGAGUUAUGUUUAUGGAUUUCAGAUUUUUGGUUAUAUAUAUAUAUAUAUAUAUAUAUAUAUAUAUAUAUAUAUAUAUAUAUAUAUAUAUAUAUAUAUAUAUAUAUAUAUAUAUAUAUAUAUAUAUAUAUAUAUAUAUAUAUAUAUAUAUAUAUAUAUAUAUAUAUAUAUAUAUAUAUAUAUAUAUAUAUAUAUAUAUAUAUAUAUAUAAAAGAUAAACUUAUAAAAACUGGAUUGAAUCGGUUGAAUCGAACUUGUCAUAAAACGGGUUCAACUAAAAAACCUAUUUUUUAAAAGAACUUGGAAGGGUAGUUUUUAGGUAACAAAACAAUCUUUUAUAAUGUCGUGGAAAGUGGCAUAUAUUAUGAGACCAAUUAGAUACCCCUUAGAAUGUUUUCUAAACCAUUUGUAUUAUAGUAUUAUCUCUAAUUUUUAUAUUCUAGUCCAUAGGAUGCAUGUAUUUUGUCCCAAAAUCCUUAAUUUGUCGACAUACCCCACCUCACCCCACUAGUGAAAUAAGUGUAUAUGUAGAGGCUUUUUAACCACAACCACCCCUCAUCGGCAAUUUCGAAAGCCACGUGAAGUCUCUUAACGUGGCCCUUUAAGCAUCCACUCUCCUUUGUCUUCACCAGUUCUCCCCAGUCCCCAACCCUAUAAAACCCACCACCUCAAACCCCCAUCCUCCACUUCAACCACCACCACCACCACCAGUACUACUACCACCUUCUCUCCUCCCUCGAAACUUCAUAUAUCUUUUUCCGACAUGGCUGCUUCUUCAAUAUUCAUGGUAGCCCCCAUCACAGUUUUCAAGAGAAAUCCCGCAUUCCCCAUCAGGUGCAUGGCACAGACACCACAAAGUGGUGAAACCGGGAGUUCCAAACAAGCAAUCACACCAAAUAUGACCAGUACUCCUCCUCCACCGCCUGCUCCGAAGGUCAGCUCGAAGUUCUCCGACGUAUUGGCAUUCAGCGGACCGGCACCGGAGAGGAUAAACGGAAGGUUGGCGAUGAUCGGGUUUGUGUCGGCGAUGGCGGUAGAAGUGAGCAGCGGUCAAGACGUGUUUGCCCAGAUCGGCAAUGGCGGAGUGGCGGUGUUUGUCGGCACUAGCAUGGUGUUGACGUUAGCGUCGUUGGUGCCGUUGUUUAAAGGAGUGAGUGUGCAGUCGAAGUCGAGUGGACUGAUGACGUCAGAUGCAGAGCUUUGGAAUGGACGGGUUGCGAUGUUGGGGCUGGUGGCUUUGGCUUUCACUGAAUAUGUUAAAGGCAGUGCUCUUGUCUAGAUAAUGUAUUCCAAAAUCCAAACUUUUCUAUUACAUAAUUAAAUAUAAAACAGGAAAAUGUAUAUUCUUUUGAAUAUUUAUUUGUAUCAUUGACCUAACAUGGUUCAAAUCAUGAAAAACAUAUGUUUGAUAAUAUAAAAGAACAUAAUACAGUAUAAAACCAAAAACUAAGAUAAAAUUUAGGGGAAUAAACAAAUCGUUUACCCUGUAUAUAUGUAUAAGUGUAUAACACAUGAUCUUGAAUAAAACAACCUAAACUAAUUGAUAUAAGAGUCAAAGUAUAAAAUACUUAAACAUUCGGUGUAAUUAGGUGUGUCUAUUGCAAUCCUAGUUUUACAGCUUGCUCACAGGAACAGGAGAUGUAAGCAAAGUUAUUGUUAAGAUACCUUAAAAGCAAAACGAUCACAAAACCAUUAUAUAAUAUAACAAGUUAUUCGUGAAAUGGCCAUAUUUUGGCCNCUGAAAUUCAUUUAUUUUGGGUAACCAUUAAUUCAUGAUGUAAAUUUAAUUUUCUAACUAUUUAAUAUGUUAACGAUGAUUUUCUAACUAUUUAAUAUGUUAACGAUGAAACUGUUUAGAGAUAUAGACACUUGCAAAGGUUAUCUUCAUUCUUGAAGAUAACAGUGCUCUUAUUUAUUUCACUUUUUAACAAAUGUAUCAUAAAAAAAAAACGAUUUGACGAUUUUGAUAUUCAAUGUGCCUGAGUCAUCCAAGUAAAUUGUUAAAAACCUCUAAAUUCAUCUAUAUAACCACUCGCAAAGGGUAUCUUCAUUCUUCAAUAUACCUAAUUUGAUUUAAUGAUCUUGAGAAUGCAAACAAACUGUUUAAAAAGAUAGGUAAAACAAAUAUAACGAAAAUUUCGAAAAGUUAACCAUUGGAGAUGCAACUUAAUUAGAGCUUAAAACUAAUAGGAUGAGGAGUUGACAAUAACUCUAAGUUAUAACACAACUUAACCAUUGGAAAUGCUCUUAGACUUAUUUUUUGGAUGAACGAUGAUAAAUAAUUACCAUAUAAUUAUCAUUAACUUUACUUUUUAAGUUAUCAUUACAAUAUAAUUAUUAUUUGUCCAACUUUUAUUAUUAGUUUAUUAUAACACAAUCAAUAAAUCAUUAUUAAUUUAUAAUUAUAUUUUUACUAUUAACUUUAUUCAUAUUGAUAACUUUAAAUUUAUUUUUUAUUAAGAUAAAAAAACAACACUAAUAUUUUUUUAUAAUAUAAUCACAUAAAUAAUACUAUUAAAAAUAAAUUUUCAAAUAAGUUUUCAUCAACCUAACAUCAUUGAUAGUAUAAAUAACAUUAUAUGAAAAAUAAAUUCCGAACAGAUCUUCAUCAUUUUUUUUCUUUAGUUUUAAAUAUUACAUAACAAAAAUCAGAGACAAAAAUAAAUAACAAUUAAUCAUCUUUAGUCCUAAAAGAUAUUUCUGUAGGUUUGACUCGCUUAUAAAAUUUUAGACGCGACUUAUACAUAGUUUAUUAUUCGGUUGCGAACGGAUCUUUGUGGCAGAUAGAUAAUGUCGAAAUAGGAGGAAUCAGACACUCUUCUUCUAAUUGUAUCAUCACAUAAUGAUUGGUUUAUACAAGUGCUAAUGUAAGGACAAUAUGAUUUUGAAACUCUCAAGGACCUCUCCAUAGAGAGAAAAGGAUUAUAGAGUCUACUGUGGUAAAAAUUAGACGAUCAGAACAAACCUAUUGGUUAUUAGGAUACAUGUCUCAGGCAUAAACAUAUAGUGUCUAGUGGUGAUGUCCUUUCUUUCAUGAAGAAAAACAAAGAAUCAAGUACUCAAUCACAUCUAACGAAAACUCUAGAAUAGUCUUCAUAUGAAGUCAAUAACUCAUCAUAUAAUUGUCGACGAAUGAAAAGUCACUCAUCUUCAUCAUACCCGAGACAAACGACUACUGAUCGAACAUCACAAUUUCCAUCACCUAAUACAUUUUGUAUACACUUGAUGCUCGAAUAUAAAUAAUAUUCAUAAUUUUAAACUUAUUUUUAUUAAGACAAAAGAAAACAACAAU